rnacentral:rRNA from 1 species
UACGUAGGGCGCAAGCGUUGUCCGGAAUUAUUGGGCGUAAAGGGUGCGUAGGCGGUCUGUCGCGUCGGCUGUGAAAACCCGGGGCUCAACCCCGGGCCUGCAGUCGAUACGGGCAGACUAGAGUGCGGUAGGGGAGACUGGAAUUCCUGGUGUAGCGGUGAAAUGCGCAGAUAUCAGGAGGAACACCGGUGACGAAGGCGGGUCUCUGGGCCGUAACUGACGCUGAGGAGCGAAAGCGUGGGGAGCGAACAGG